UCGAACGGAGAAUUGCUAGCUUGCUAAUAAUUCUCUAGUGGCGCACGGGUGAGUAACACGUGAGUACCUGCCCCCAAGAGUGGGAUAGCCCCGGGAAACUGGGAUUAAUACCGCAUAAAGCAAUAAAGCAGCAAUGCGCUUGGGGAUGGGCUCGCGUCCUAUUAGUUAGUUGGUGAGGUAACGGCUCACCAAGGCGAUGACGGGUAGCCGGUCUGAGAGGAUGUCCGGCCACACUGGAACUGAGACACGGUCCAGACACCUACGGGUGGCAGCAGUCGAGAAUCAUUCACAAUGGGGGAAACCCUGAUGGUGCGACGCCGCGUGGGGGAUAAGGUCUUCGGAUUGUAAACCCCUGUCAUGUGGGACAUUAAAAGAUAGUACCACAAGAGGAAGAGACGGCUAACUCUGUGCCAGCAGCCGCGGUAAUACAGAGGUCUCAAGCGUUGUUCGGAAUCACUGGGCGUAAAGCGUGCGUAGGCGGUUUCGUAAGUCGUGUGUGAAAGGCGGGGGCUCAACCCCCGGACUGCACAUGAUACUGCGAGACUAGAGUAAUGGAGGGGGAACCGGAAUUCUCGGUGUAGCAGUGAAAUGCGUAGAUAUCGAGAGGAACACUCGUGGCGAAGGCGGGUUCCUGGACAUUAACUGACGCUGAGGCACGAAGGCCAGGGGAGCGAAAG
rnacentral:rRNA from 1 species